AUUGAACGCUGGCGGCAGGCCUAACACAUGCAAGUCGAACGGUAACAGGAAGAAGCUUGCUUCUUUGCUGACGAGUGGCGGACGGGUGAGUCAUGUCUGGGUAACUGCCUGAUGGAGGGGGAUAACUACUGGAAACGGUAGCUAAUACCGCAUAACGUCGCAAGACCAAAGAGGGGGACCUUCGGGCCUCUUGCCAUCGGAUGUGCCCAGAUGGGAUUAGCUAGUAGGUGGGGUAACGGCUUACCUAGGCGACGAUCCCUAGCUGGUCUGAGAGGAUGACCAGCCACACUGGAACUGAGACACGGUCCAGACUCCUACGGGAGGCAGCAGUGGGGAAUAUUGCACAAAGGGCGCAAGCCUGAUGCAGCCAUGCCGCGUGUAUGAAGAAGGCCUUCGGGUUGUAAAGUACUUUCAGCGGGGAGGAAGGGAGUAAAGUUAAUACCUUUGCUCAUUGACGUUACCCGCAGAAGAAGCACCGGCUAACUCCGUG
rnacentral:rRNA from 1 species